UUGCUGUGAUGACAGUCUUAGGACACCUUUGGAUUAACCAUGAAAAAAAUCAUCUUCUGAGCAAC
ensembl:snoRNA SNORD58 Small nucleolar RNA SNORD58